CAAACAGAGCAGUGGUUACAAUGGGAUCCAAUAUGAGGGGAUAGUGCCACAAGCACAAGGAUAAUAAAAGAUUUGUGGAUUAGUUUUGUCCAAAAGCGAGACUACAUAAAUAAACCAUGAUGCAGAAUUAGAUUGGACCGAAUAUACACUAUAUAUUCAUGGCAAUACAUCUUCCUAUUCAUAUUUACAAAUAUAUCUGUUCUUCUACGUUUCUCGUGUGCAUUGGACAGGGGAAAAUGCCACAAGCACAAGGAUAAUAAAAGAUUUGUGGAUUAGUUUUGUCCAAAAGCGAGACUACAUAAAUAAACCAUGAUGCAGAAUUAGAUUGGA
rnacentral:sRNA from 1 species